GGUGGAAAUGCGGAACCCCACGAUGCGUAUUCUGAGGUCUUGGUUGGAUUGGGUUCGCGUUGCAAGAUCUAUCGGAUUAUUAAAAGAAAUACUGCGGUGGUGCCCUGAUUGGAAUCGCGACGGGGUUCGAUGGAAAUUCAGUACAAUCUGAAAUGACAAUUUCGUUUCUCUUCCCAAGGGAUGCUUCCCGUUCUUGCCUAUGGUUAUUGCAUUCCGAUAUGCGUGUUGAAUUUAGUUGGUUUCGUUGUACCCUGUCCAGCAGAUGGGUCUUGAAAGGUACUCUGCACUCCAAUCUUCAAGGCAAACGCAAGGUCUAAUGGAAUAACUGCUGAGAUGUUUCAAAAAGAAAAAAAAACAUGCGUAAGAAAACGUUGAAUGGCGAAAAGGAGGGGUGACGGAGAGGAAUGGUGGCGCGCCUCUGCUCCACCGGCGGAAAGGAGAGGCGGCGGAGAGGAGGGGCGGCAGAGAGGAUGGGCAGCGGAAAGGAUGGGCUGCUCCACCGGAGGAAAGGAGGGGUGACGGAGAGGAUGGGCUGCUCCACCGGUGGAGAGGAAGGCAGCUCCGCUUGUUGUGACCAGAGGCUCUGUGUGUUGCUCCUCUCAAAACCCUCUAUCAUAUGGGUCGGGCGGUAUCCCCGUCGUAUCCUCUUUAUUUUGUAUUUAUUUUAAAUCGAAAAUAAGGGAUACUUGGGGAUACGUGUAUCCCCGUAUCCCUGCGUCCUGGACGGCGAUACGACACAUUUGGGAAGUAUCCGUGCAACCCAGCUAGCGAUACUAUAUGUUCCGAUGUUGCUAUCAAUCCUACACACAAGGUAUAUGAUAUCAAUAGAAUUUGUGUAACUUUGUAACAUUUGUCAUAGCUGCUAUCUUGCGUUCGAGAUAACCAAUUUGUUGGAAACACUGUAAAUUAGCUGUCAUGUUGCAACAUUUAUUAUACAAUAGCUACUUACUUUGUAUUAUGAAUUAUGACACAACUGAUUGUUUUGUGUCUAUAAUGUACAUGGUUUAGUGAAAUUAUUAUUUCAAGGCUCAUAUCCACCGAGCGUGAUGCUCCAGAAGAUUUUUCUUAUAGACCUUGAAGUAGUUAAAAUAUUUGGAAAAUUGCACUCUGGCAAUUAGAUAUGAUGUUGUUUGCUUAGGAAGAAUCCCAUGACAAGUCCCGAUUGCAGCCUUCUUCUAUAUACACAGGAAGUUUCUCUGGCGCUUCUUUCAGCUUGAUGAUAAUAUGAUAUCAGCAUUGAUGUUGUCAAACAAUGACAACAAUCGGUUACUAUUGGCAUUUUGGACACUUCGGUCCCUAGCUUUUUGUCUACUUUCGUUCAGCAAGGCUCUUAGUCCAGUGGUAAGGUACGGGAGCCUUCACUAGCUACCGCGGGUUCGAACCCCGUCGUUCGCACCAUUGUUAAAAGGUCUCCAAUGAAGACCCCGAGGAGAGGGGAUCCGGUGCUUUAAAAAAAUAAAAAAUAAAAGUAAAAAUAAAAGGCUGUUUUUUUUUUCUUGUGAUAUGUAUGUGAUAAUGAAGUUAUUUUUCUAGUUUCAGUUUAUGUGUUUCUAAUUAUUGCUCACUCCUGUGCUGUUACCCCACUCUCUUACGGAAAUCUUUUAGUUUAAUGCAGAUUCUGGGAAAUGCCUAGGUAUGAAGAUGGAAAUAUGUUUUUAUAUCCUUCACUGUCCAUAAUAUUGACCUGAUCAAUCAUUCCUUGAUUUUUCUUUACACUUCAGAGACCUUUCUAUCAGAUGGAUAGCAUACCUGUUGCCCAAUACAUGGAUGGCAGCACACAUCUGCAGUUGACUGAUUCUGAAGGAUAUCCUCAGGCUUUACAUUCCUCUGACAAUCUUUAGCUCCUAACUCUGGUGUAACAGUCAAGUAUGCUAACUGAAGCAUUAUUCUGCAAAGAUAAAAUCUAGAAGAGGCGACUGUCAUUGAAACACCCUGGCUUACAAACUGGAUAUAUUUCCUAAGGCUUUUUAUUUUUUUUUGAGUGGAUUUCCUAAGGCAUAUUUGGGUACUAUUCCAGUCUCUAGUGUGUCAUUAGUAAACUUCCAAAGGAUGUAAUGGAUCUGACUGGUAAAGUUAGAAGUAAUUCUUUUGGAUUGGAAAAAAGAUUAAUCCAAGGAGGAGGACUAUUUAGUAUGUCAACAGGAUGAAGAGAAGUAUGUUGCAGGUAAACGAUAAAUGGACAUUACACUGAAUAUGAAGUUUUGGUAUCUUACUACUAUUAUCCAGACAGGCCAUAGUGCUCCGCUUAUUUGGACUGCACUGAAUUAUAUCCUCCAACUGCUAUUGUGAGCAGGAACCAGCUGGGGAUCUAUUUCAAUAGUUCAAUCAAGUUUGUCCUGAAAGAUGGUAUAUGUGUCAUGAACUAUCCAAUUCCCAUGUCAAAAGAAAAAAAAAAGCGUACCCAAUUGUGAUACUCUGCAGGAACUUCCUCAUAUUUCAGUUGGAAAAUCAAUGCCUAUUGAAAUAAAGGUGACUUUGUUGACAAUCUCCUGCUGCCUUUACCUUAAAAGGCUUCCUCAGAGCUACAGAAAAUGCAAGUUGUACUGCAAGAAUGUAGGCAAUGUAAUGGACGUGAGGAGGUUCAAUUGAGAAGAAGAAAUAAACAAGAUUCCAAUCUAGUUGGGUAUCCUUCCAUUCUAUCAGGUGUAUAGUUGAAUAAAAUACAAUUUCAAGAGAUGUUCAUUUAUUUGGAAGAACAGGGCCAUCCAGAAUCGAAAAAUACUUUUGUGGAUUCUCCCUGAUGAUCAGCUACAUACUAAUGUACAAAUCAACAGAGGCAAAAGGAAUCCAAAUGAAUAAAGAUAUGUGCAUCCUCAUUCUAAAAUCAUUUAUUCGUUCGUGCGCUAGUACACACAUUCCAUAUGGGACAAACUGGAAUGUGCCAGUAAGACAAUAAUCACCAGAUACUUGCCAAGUUUCAGCAUACAUAAAAGAACAGUGACUGUAAAACUGCUGGAGAUUAGUGAGUACAGGCAUCAUAUUGACAACUUGGUUGUUCACAAAUGAAGUAGUUUUCAUGACUCCAGUCCAGUGCAACGGAUGAGACACACAGGCAUAUAAUCAAAGAUUACUCAAAGAAUAAACAGUUGGAAUGGGGGGACAUAUACAAUUUUGUAUCAGAAAUUGAACUCUGAAGAUGAAUGCAUCAAAGACCAGGGCUAAGCAGUCGUAGGAAGCCUGCAACUGAACAAACUGACGUGAAAACUUCAGUUCUGGAGCAAAGCUAGUUCAGAAGAUGUCAAGACAUUCCGUUUGCUGGAUUUCAUAUUUGUGGGUAUCAUCUAUCAUGUGAAGAUGUCAUACAGAUGGAUGGAAGCCUGAGAUUUGAAGUUAUGUAACAUUGAUGUGCAGCUGUUCGAAUGCAUACAUGUUUGGUACUGAUCUUGAAUUCAGGUUGAUUUCAAGAACAUGGCAGCGAGACUCCUCUGACUGAAUAGCAAAUUGGCCGAACCAAUGUGUUAGAUUCUGCGUAUAUGGAUGUGGGCUGAAGAAAUGGGCCAACCAAGCAAAUUUACCUCUACCACAAAUUUCUUUUACAUGCUAACUGCUUGGAGCCUUGUGUGUGGCUCUACUUAGUAGGACCGGUGGUUACACGAGCACUGCGUGGGCGGAAUUCAUGAAAGGUUUGUUUGUUUACUUUUGGGUGGUGUAACUUACAUUCUUGUUGCAAUGUUGGCUUGUUUGCAGGAAGGCGCUGGUUGGGGAGAAGUAACUGUUGAAGUGAAGCUUGCAACCAACCAGCUAAAACCUUUUGUUUGUAUCGUUUCAUUUGCUUGCUUGCUCCGGGUAAAGCGACAUAUUUUGGACGUAAGCAGAUGUACCCGGUGCAAACGUGCAAAUUCUAAGCCAGGGUUCCAAAUUUCUUGGUAACCGAGUUUACGGUGGGUGCCAGGCAAAAUAAUUCGAGAAACCUAUAUUUUUUAUUAGAUACUUGAAGAGAACAAAUUUUCCACAGAGAAGUUUUGCAAGGAGAGUAUUUGCACUCUGUGCGUGCUAGAGUUUGCAUAUUGCACAGAAUUGAACUGUGCAGACGAGUGGGCAAAGAAGUUCAGGACCGACAGGUUGGUCCCACGUGUGUCUGUGCACUAGAAGCUUGGUUGAUGGAUCAAGUGAUUGUCCUGAGCAAACAAGACUGAUUUGGUCCAACCUUGUUCAGCUAGCUGAUCUACUUAUUGCUCCUGAGCCGUGAGUACGUGUGUUUCUGUAUAUGCAAAGUUAGGUAUGACUUGGCCUUUCUUGAGUCUGAAUUCAGUUACCAUAUAUACCUGCUCACCAUACAGUAACAAUUGUGCAGUACAUUCUGUUACUACAUAUUUGCAGUAGAAUUUUU